UGCCUGCUCCCAGCUGGCACACGUAACCCGUUGGUGUUUUCUCUUUACAGUGAAAGAAGCUGGAAGAGAUUUUACCUAUUUAAUAGUGGUGCUUUUUGGAAUCAGCAUUACAGGUUGCAAAAAACAGCAAGUAUAAGCUCUUGAAUAUUUUUUAAGCUGGCCUUUUUAUGUUGCCCUUGCUUUGCUUCAUCUUUGUUUUGUGUGAUUUCAGGUGGCUUGUUUUACACGAUUUUCAAAGAACUUUUUUCUUCAUCCAGUCCUAGCAAGAUAUAUGGGAGAGCCUUAGAAAAAUGCAGAUCACAUCCUGAGGUGAUCGGUGUCUUUGGUGAGUCUAUUAAAGGCUAUGGGGAGGUGACAAGGCGGGGUCGCCGGCAGCAUGUCAGUUUCACUGAAUAUAUAAAAGAUGGGCUGAAACACACGCGUGUGAAAUUCUACAUUGAGGGCUCUGAGCCAGGCAAGCAAGGAACGGUGUAUGCGGAAGUGAAAGAGAACCCAGGAAGUGGUGAAUAUGAUUUUCGAUAUAUAUUUGUAGAAAUUGAAUCUUAUCCUAGAAGAACUAUUAUCAUUGAAGAUAAUCGAUCCCAAGAUGA
rnacentral:sRNA from 1 species